UUUCCGUUCUGCUCUUUUCUACCCUCUUUCGUUCUUAUCUCUUUCUCUUAUUUCCUUUUCGCUUCGUCUCAAAACCGAAAGAGAAAAAUCGAGCGAGAGAAACCAAGAUACAAAACCUCUCUUUAGAGUAUAUCAAAUCCAGAUUCAUACCUAAAUCGAUUGAAAAUCUUCAUCUUAUAUCAAUAACUUAAAGCCUGUUAGAACUCAGAUUUAUUCUUCUUCUUCUACUAUUUUCAAACCGUAAAUUGACCAAAAAUUGUGUUAAGCAUGUUACCAGAAUUGAAGACCCAUUUUUACUGAGUUUCAAUAACCUAAUCUCAGAAGAAGAAUUAGGUACAUAUACUUAGAAGAUUCACAGAAGAUUUAGGUUGAUUGCUUCCAUGCGCUGCGGAGGAUCAAGCCUUUAUCCAUACCUUACGUAGUUUUCGUCAAGCAAGGACUUUCAUCGUUUGUAGGCAUCUACUUGAAACGUUCUGUCUGUCAUUUAUGUUGUCAAGGCAUGGGGUGUUAUCAUCCGCUUUUUUUUUAGGAUUUACUGCAUGAGGCAUGAUUUCAACCUGGAUAAUGGCAUAUAUUGAGAAGAGUCAUGGUGGUUGGGUUGCAGCAAAGAAAAUAUGGAGAGUAUUUGUUUCUAUUCACACUUUGAUCUGUUUAUGACUUGCUUUAUUUACGUGCAUUGUGAAUUUUAUCUCUAUCUUGAAGAUUAAACGCACCUAUAAUUUUCAACUCGUCCGCAGGAUUCCAACUCAGAUGCGGUGUUUGGCUUCAACCAGUUCAACCUUGCUUUCUCAAGAUUCAGUAAAUGUGUUAUUUGCAGCGGGUUCAUCUAGAACUCAGCAUCCCCAUCGGUUUUUUAAUUUGGCUAUUUACAUGAUUAUUAUGCUGUUUUUGGAGUUUCAAAAAAUGCUAAUAAGGCAGACAGACAUAAAGAGUGGCCUGUGCACUUCUCCAAAACAAUCUCGAUAAUGCUAAAGCAAGCAUAGAGGUCCUUAUUGCUGAUUUGCAAUUAUUAAGGAACCAGGUGACGAUAACACAGGUAUAGAGUGAUAGAGAAGGGAAAUAGACAUCUGAGAAUCUGAAUUGAUUGAUAAUAGAAGUUUGAAUAGUAGGUAUAACAUUAUAAGACUGGAUGAGUUGGGAACCACCAUUAUGUAAUUGGGUAUUGCUUUUUGUAAUUGGGUAUUGCUGUAACUGCAAGAAGAGUGUGGACAUAGCAACAAGUUGAGGCCAAAGAGAAAGAACAAGUAGAUGCAAUCCUGAAAUUUUGGUAUAGUUUUAGCAUCUGUUACUGGUAAUCACAGAUCAAAUCAUGUCUUUCAAGCCGGGUGUAAAAGCUAAGCCUUUGAAGCAACCCAAGGCAAAAUAGAAAGAAUAUGAUGAGACUGACUUGGCAAAUCUUCAAAAGAAUAAAAGAGAAGCUUUAUGUCAGGUGGUGUUGGACUAAAGAAAGGCGGAAAGAUUGGAACAAGAUGCUCUAGUAAAGGUAUAUGUCUGGAAAUUAUGCCCAUUUGAGCUUGUCCUGUUUUUGUUCUGGUCCUUUGGUAUGUACACCGACUCCUAGAGAUGUUCCAUUUACAUCAGGUGGCAUUAUAAGGAAAUCAAGAAGUCAGAGUUGGAUAAGCAUAAUAUGAUUUGAGCGAACAAGUUGUAGGUAGUUUCUUAUUUCUUAAAUUCUUGUAGAAAAUGUAUCCACUGCCUAUGCAUGAUUUAUGAUUGGGAAUGGAGUGGCUAGAUACCUGUAUUCUGGUGCAGGAAAACAAAUGUGCAGGUGCAGGAAAUUUUGAAAUAAGAUUUUUUUU